UGGCAGACGGGUGAGUAACACGUAGAUAACCUACCCCUCCGUUGGGGAUAGCCACUGGAAACGGUGGGUAAAACCGAAUAUUCUCAUUUGAAGGCAUCUUCGGGUGAGGAAAACUCUGGUGUGGAGGGAUGGGUUUGCGACCUAUUAGCUAGUUGGUGUGGUAAUAGCGCACCAAGGCGACGAUGGGUAACCGGUCUGAGAGGACGGUCGGUCACACUGGCACUGAGAUACGGGCCAG
rnacentral:rRNA from 1 species